CUCGGGGAGCGAAGAGAGCGCCGCGAGAAAGAAAUGUUCGACGCGGGGCCCCUUCCUCUACUUGGCUCCUCUAUCCAAAAUGAGGCGUCUACGGGACUGGUGCUUUUUGCACCUGCGGGCAGCUGUCCUGCUAGUGCUGCAAGAGCGGGGCUCCUCUGGCUCUUCCUCACACUCCCUGACCUUUUUCUCCGCACUGAUGUCGAAGCCCAUCCCUGGCACGCACCCAUUCACUGCUCUAGUGUAUUUGGAUGACCAGCUUAUUGGUCACUAUGACAGCAACAGAAGAAAGUGUCUGCCUGAACCGUCAUGGGCAGAGAAAGUGGAGGAGGAGGAGGAUGCCCCCUUCUGGGACUGGUGCACGAAGGUUUCCCUGACGUCUGCGAGCAGUUUCAGAGUGGACUUUUUGAACCUACAGAAAUACUACAACCAGAGCAGGAGGCUCCACAUCUGGCAGCGCAUGCACGGCUGUGCGCUGAGCGGGGAUGGACUCCGAGAAGCCCACUACCAGUAUGCCUAUGAUGGGAGGGACUUCCUCAGCUUGGACAUGGAGACCCUCACCUGGACAGCAGCAGAUGUCAUGGCCCAGUUGGUCAAGAGGAGGUGGGAGGCUCAUCCUCUCCUCACUCAGAACAAGAGAUACUUCACGGAGGAGAAAUGCGAGUGGCUGAAGAAGUUCUUCCAGUAUGGAAAGGAAGCUCUGUUGAGGAGAGAGCCCCCAGUAGUGAAGGUGAGACGCAAGGCAGGCUAUGAUGGCUGGGAGACCCUGAUCUGCCGGCUCUAUGGCUUCUACCCCAAGGAGAUAGAUGCCACCUGGAGGAAGGACGGGGAGGUCUGGGAGCAGGAGACAUUCCGCGGGGGCAUCACUCCCAACUCAGGUGGGACCUACCACACCUGGCUCAGCAUUGAGAUCGACCCCAAGGACAGGGACCAGUAUCGGUGCUACGUGGAACAUGAUGCCCUAGAGAAACCUGUUGACUUGGCCUGGGAGGAGCCUGCCUCUGUGUUUAAGGGGUUCAUUGUGGGAGCCACAGUGUUUGUGACAGCUGUUCUGCUGGUGGCUGGGAUCAUGUUAAUAAUCGUGAAUCUUCAAAAGCAAGAACCCUACAAAGCAGCAUCAAGGAAUAAUGGGGAUUUGAGGAUGCUCCAAGUGCCCCCUUGGGGGUGCCUGGGCACCAAAGUGGGUUUGGGUGCAAGGCAGGUAUGGCCACAACUCCCCCCAGGAGCCCCAAGCUGGUGGAGUUCCUGGUUUUUAAUUAUUUUUUAAAAAAAAGAUUUAGCCUGUUUCAAUGUAAUGAAUAGGAAUCCCUCCCCCAUUCAGAAAAAGAACAGUCUGUGACCUGUUCUCUUUAAUUGCUAUGAAUUGUGAACUCAGAGUUCACAGCAAUUAAGGUCACACACUGUUCUCUUUCUGAAUUGUGAAUCACCUGCAGUUGGAUUGGCAAGUUUGUAGGGCAGGGCCUGAUCUGUAGCUGCAUCCAGGGUCUGGAAUUCCCCUCUUCUGAAUCGCAGACCCAUGCCAUGAAUAAGUGAAGCUUUCGUACAUGCUUGCCCAGGCGUGAGGGAGAGAGUGGAAUCCUGCCUCAGAGAUGUUAGCUAGAUGCCAGCUAAAUGGAAAAUUGCCUUAAGUUCCCAUCAUCAUCAACGGACUCUAUACUAGGGCUGUACAUGAUCAUGUCCCAUGUCCGGUGUUAUCUGAAUGUGUUCUGCAAUGACAGAAGAUGACUAGACCAAUGGCUACCGUAAGUGCUGUAUACAGGAGACCCUGGAUAGACCAGCCUUCCUCGUUCUAGUGGGUCUCCAGGUGCCUAUCAAACAAUGGGUAGAUCUGGCCGUCACCCAGUGCUCCAGACUCCCACUCAAACGGUGCCAUGGUGGCACUGGCCCAGUUGAGCCAAUUGAUAGAUCUGGCCUCCAUACUUUUAAAUUUAUGUCUGUUUUUUAAAAUGGUGGAAGGAGCGUCCUUAUGAUCUUUCCAGUUGGAAAUAUGGCAGGCCUCCUAGACUUCACUUUCUCUAGAAAGCAAAGAUUUCUGAUCAUUCUUCUAAUAAUGAAACAGGAUGCUGUUUGCCUGUAUUGCAUGCAUGAUUUGCUGUGGUUAAUGUUUAUGAACAGAUCUUAAUUGUUGGAGAAGGAGUGGAGGGGAAAAUAGAGAGGAAGGGACGAGAACUGGAAAGGUGGGAGCCCUCACACUCUAGUGCAGUGUUGGGUACCAGUCCGUGAGGCAUCACUAAUAAAAAUCACUCCCCCCCCCAAAAAAAACCCACCAGUUUUGGGCUGGCAGGGGCCACUGGGAGCUCUCCGGAGCUCAUUUCCAGGCAGCCCUUGCUGCUGGAUAACGUUCAUUUCACUUCCUCGAAAUGAACAUUAUCUAGCAGCGAGGGCUGCCUGGAAAUGAGCUCCAGAAAGCUGCCUGAAGCCUUUUGGGGGGGGUUGGAGGUGAAGGGGGCAACCCCCUUACUAACUGCUGGUCCAGAAAACGGCACAUGAAUAAUGUACCGGUCCAUGACUCCAAAAACACUGAGAAAUACUGCUCUAGUGCAUACACAGCAACAUAGAUUCCUUCUCUUUUUCUCUACUUUGCAGCAAGCGACCUAGGAUCUGACAAUUCCUGCGGAGGGAGCAGCCAGCAGUCUUGGAGCAACCAGGAGAGAAUCCCCUGAGAAAGGAAGCCAAGAGAAUCGAUGACUUGCUGUGAACUGUAGCUCCUGGGAGCCGGUGCCAGCCCUGGACACCCCACCUAAUCCUGCCUCUGGCCUAGCUCCAGUUUGGGCUUAUCUUUCAAACGAGAUGCAACAGUAUUGAGACUGAUCAGCAGUGUGCCAUUAUUUUAAAUGGAAUGAUUCUGGAAUGAAUGGUUUUUACCAUUUUUCUUUUUUGUUUCACAUUUUAUUGUAAUAUUUUUAAAAUAAUCACAUUCAACAUCCACUUCAACAAAGAAUAGAUCAUCAGGAAUGAUUCAUAGGAGUUCUUGAGAGAACAUCCAUCUAGGGACAAAUGUACAGUAUCCUCAUUGGGGCUUGCCCUUGGGGUUGCGGUGGGACAUGCUGAAUAUUUUUUAACAUAAUGACCCAGAAUGGGUCAUUCAGAAUUUAAAGGGCCCCAUGCCCUCAUCCCCCCCACAUAUGGGGGCACUUCCAGCUGCUCAGAGGGGCUAGCAGAGGGCUUUGCAGAGUCUCCACACUAUGGCUUGCCCCGGAGCAUGGCUGCCACUGCAGUCGCUGUGCUCUGACCCAGCCAGGCCCCUCUGGCGCACUGUGUUUGGCUAUGCACAAUUGUAUUUCUGGCUGUGCUGUGCUGUUCUGUGCUGUGCUCUGGGCUGGAUCAAUACAGCUGCUGCAGGGAACGCCAUGCUCUGGGGCUAGCUGCAGUGGGGAGACUCCAGGCAGCGAUCUCUGCACUGCCUGCUGCUGAGCCUUCUGAGCAGCUGGGAGUGCCCCAGGUGCGCGGGGUGGGGUGCGUGAUGGCUCGAAGGGGCCUUAGGGCAUUGGCCCCAAUUCCCACCCCCACCUCCAAAGGAUGGGCCUGAUCCUUACCCCUGGAAUGUUUGUAAUAUGUCAAUUUAAUAGAAAUAUCAUGUUCCCAAUGUAGAUGUUUUACCAGUCCAGCCUUGGUGGUGGUGUGGUAUGCUGUGUCUUCCACCUUUCUGCAAUAUAAAUUCUUGCUGCUGUUAAGAGAUGUGAUCUACAUCUGAUUUCGAUACAUCCUCUCUUAUGCAACUAAAAAGAAUGAAUUUUGGCUCCUUCAUUAAAUUAAGGCCUGUCAUUUCAUUAAAUAUUGAUAUUGCCGCUUUCCAAAAAUUAAUUAGCGGACAUGACCAAAAUCUAUGUAAAACAUUUUCCUUAGGAAUGCAACACCUCCAUCACGUGAUGAAUUUGUUUUAGAUGUAAAGGAGUCAUACGCCAUCAAUAUUCUAAUUUAUCCAGGCUGUUUCUAACUUAAUAUUGAUAAUUCUCAUAAUAAUAUUCAACCAUAACCACAUCUGUUGUUCUUCUGUGAUUGGGUCCUGGAGUUCCCUAUCCCACUAAAAAAUAUAAAUAGGUGAGAGAGGGAUCAUUCUGCUCAUUCACCAGGGGAGAGCUGGUCUUGUGGUAGCAAGCAUGACUUGUCCCCCUAGCUAAGCAGGGUACACCCUGGUUGGAUUUGAAUGAGAGACCACAUGUGAGCACUGUAAGAUAUUCCUCUCGGGAUGGAGCCACUCUGGGAAGAGCAGAAGGUUUCAAGUUCCCUCCCUGGAUUCUCCAAGAUUCCUGCCUGCAACCUUGGAGAAGUCGCUGCCAGUCUGUGUAGACAGUACUCAGCUAGAUAGUCCAAUGGUCGGUCUCAGUAUACGGCAGCUUCCUAUGCUCCACAAAUGAUAUUAACGUGCCAUCAAUCUUUUAUUUUUAACAUUUGACAACAUGAUUUCUGCCUUUGUGUUUUCUCUGAACAUCUCAUUUUUAAAUUCCAUUAAUAAAUAACCUUUCAAAUUAA